GCCCAAGUCAUAGGUCAAGUGUAGCGGGUGUGCCCAGGUCACAGGUCAAAUAUCAAGUCUAGUGGGUGUGCCCAGGUCACAGGGCAAAUGUGAAGUCUAGUUGGUGUGCCCAGGUCACAGUCAAAUGUCAAAUCUAGUGGGUGUGCCCAGGUCACUGGUCAAAUGUCAAGUUUAGUGGGUGUGCCAACGUCACAGGUAAAGUGUCAACUUUAGGGGGUGUACGCAUGUCACAGGUCAAAUGUCAACUAUGGGGGUGUGCCCGUUCAUUUGAUCGAGUCUCGGGAGAUCUAAAGGGUGUGUUUCGUUGUUAUCGUGUUCGUCAACGUUUUGACACUUUAGCGAAAAACGCCCUCUAGAAACGAAAAAUGUAACAUAGUGCCCCAACUGCCGCUAGGUGACAUUAGCUUGGACAAUGUGAGACACGUGGGUUAUCAAGCGCCAAGUUCAACUGGUAACACACACCACUGCACAAUUCUUGGUUCUGAUAGUUAUUUAUUUUAUCACCUUUUAUUCUCUCUUUAAGUUCGUCCAGCAACAGCUCAAGUGAUAAAUUGCGACUGCAUUGGAAUUUGCUGACCAUUCGAUCCUACACCUACCUAAAUCUGUCAGAUCUCACUCUUUAUCUGCAAAAGCACGUCGCACAAAUACAUCCACGCAUCAUGUCCUAAAUUAUGUGAAAACUAUAAAUAAAAAGGUACCCAAAUACCUAAGUAUGCUUACCUGGCCAGUUUCUUGUAGAAAUCAUCUCUCUGUAAGAUCCUGGGAAUGAUGACCUCAUCACACGCUUCCUCCAGUGAGAGGACCUCACCCCCGAG